CGUCACGAAAAAGAAAAAAAAAACAACUGGCAUAAUCCAGGUCGUGAGCAACAAUAGUGACUGAGGCAGACGUGGGUUCCGGUGACAAUUGGACUAUCCAGAUCAUGUAUAAUUAUUUUGUCAUACUUUAUUUUUUUAAAAUAAAGAGUGGUGAUCUUUAGACUCUUGUAUUAUACAAUUCACCAUUCGUACUAUAUACUGAUAUCUUCAAGUACGUGUACAAAUGUAUUUCUGUAUUUUAUAAUGUCUUCCGCUGUAUUAUAAUUAAAAUGAAUGUUUUAAUC